GUUCGGUCCGGUUCGUUGGCAACGAAGGCCUCCUUCCUGCUUUUCUAUGUUUCUCCUCCUCCUCAAACAAACCCCCAUCUUUACUCUGGAAGGUCUGUUGUUGAACAACCCUUCUGCAGCCAUUGUUAGACGAAGACGUCGCCGGAGGAGAACUCGAGGGGUUCGGGGAUCUUACUACGCUAAGGAUUUCUUUUAAUCAUCUGGUGCCUUUCUCCUUCUUUCUUUCCUUGUUCUUGUUCCUCUUCUUCCAGGUGGGUAAUUCGGUGUUCUUCUUCUCUUUCUUCUCUCUCGAUUUUGUUCUUUUUCCUUUCGAAGUGGGAAGGAGCGUUGCUUUAAGGUUUAUAUGAAGAGGCUGGGAUGAUUCUUGGACCAGGGUUUGCUGCAUUGUGAAGCAAAGAUCGGCUAUUUCUGACGGCCACCUGAUCUUGGACGGUCUGCUUCCGUUCUGCAGGCAACCGAUUGCAGCCCUUUGAUUUGGCUGCAGAGAAUCAGUAGGCUGGAAGCACAAUGCUUGCUGUAUUAAAUGGUGAAUCUGAGCCGCCUCAUCCUCUUCCCUUCUUCACUUUUCUAAUUUCUUUGUUCCUGAUUUUAUCUUCAAGGUUUCUUCAAUUUCUUUUCUGAUCAGUUCUUCCCAUGGCUCCGCGAAUUAUUCAUAGAAUUAUCAAUAGCAGCUAGGUAGGGUUUUGGGAACCCUAAUUCUCAAUUUUUCUAGUUUGUUGUUGAAAAUUAGGGAUUGUUUGCUUCUUUUUUUUUCUUUUUUUAUUUGCUAUAGUGGGCGCAUCAUACUAUGUAAAUACGGAUAAACACCUAAUAAAAUCUGAAAACAAAACAUCACGAAGUGCUUUAAGCAGCUCUCUCUCUCUCUCGGGUCCAUAGAGUACCGCCCGAAUGGCAAACCACAUAAGCUGCCACCAAUCCGCAGCCCCAUUGGCCUCCUUAAAUAGAUGUCGGGCCUGGAAGGCCUCCCCAUCCCUCUCCAUUGCUCAGAUAUUUCAAAUCAGAAGGUGGUCCCCCCAUCCCGCCCGGGCCUUCCUAUAUCCAACCUAUCACAGUGGCCAAGUCAUCCUCCAAAAUGAUAGAGCUGGCGUGCAGGAUGCGUCGCACAUAUCGAAGAUCUGCCCAUGCAGCUCGCAACUCAGCAUCAGGAACCGAGGUAUCAGCUGUCUGACAACCACCCGCUGCCACCACCCUCGAACUUGGGUCCUUGAUGACAAAUUCCGUGCAUCCUCGAUGCCCUCCAUCCACUACUGACCCAUCGAGAUUGACCUUAAGAAAACUUGAGGGUGGGGGCUCCCAAGUAAAGAACACAGUACGAGGUGCUACUUGAGUUGAAAAGGAGCCUCAUAUGUCCUGAGCUGUCAAACGCCCACCUGGAUAGGUACCAUCACUAAACUCCGUUGCCUGUAUUUGUGCCCGCUCCGCUACAAACCUCGGAGACAAGUUGCAUUCACUAAAGGUCCGAGCGUUCCUGGCCGGCCAGAUCUGUUAAGUAAUACAAGUAGCUCCAAUGGCCACGGGGCGCUGCUGAGGGCUACUCGACCAGUGCCGGAUAACCUGUAAAAACUGGUCCCGCAUACCUCAGGCAUCCUGUGGAAACCCUGAAAGAUGCCAGGACCUCCUCGCCCACGCACACUGAAACAACACAUGGUCAACUAUCUCGUCGUCCCCACACAACGUACACUGGGGAGGUAUCCUCGCCCCAUGUCUGCUCAACAGCAAUUUUGUAGGAAGGCGGUCCCAGACUACCUUUCAUAGAAACAAUGCCAGUCUUGGGUGUAGACCUAACUGCCAGACCCAAGCACAAUCAGGGCCUGCCUCGUGAUCGUGCUGCUGUAGGGCCAGAGCGACAGCCCCCACCCUGACUCUGGUCCUACAGGAUGAUCGCCACACCCGGACAUCCAAUCCCCCACACCUUGGCACUGGGAGAAACUGCAUGCGCUCGGCAAGGGGGUCUCCAAAUACCUGCCACAGCUUGUCCCCAUCCCACUCCCCUCCUCUUGGGACGAGAAGGUCUCAUAUUCGCAGUCCGUCAUCCUCCUCUAUCUAUGCUAACCAUAGUCGGCCAUAAACUCAGGGGUAGGGCAUCCACCCACGGGUCCCUCACCAUAUCGAUACUCCUUCCAUCACCAAUCACCCAUCUGGUAUUUGCCCAAAUAGAUGGCAGAUACCACCCAAUCUCACGCCAUUUAAAGGAGACAGUCCGUCUGCGCCGGGUCACCUCUGUUGGCCCCACACAACCAUAUCUCACCGCCAUGACCUGACUCCAUAACCCCUGAGGCUCCAGGACGAACCGCACCACGUGUCGGGCAAUGAUCGCCUCUCGCCUUACUCGAAGAGACUGCACUUCAAGGCCACCCUUCCGGAGAGGCCGGCAAAUGCUCUCCUAGGCUACCAAAUGCACCCCACGACCCCCUCCAUACGAACCUUAUAGAAAACUCAGAAAAAGCCUCUCGAUCUUGGUCAACACUGUCUGCGGUACCACCGUGUUGGCCAUAAGGUAUACGGGCAUCGAGCUCAACACUGACCCAACCAACGUCAGUCUGCCCAUUAUGGAGAGAGACGACUCCCGCCAACCCUCCAGCCUGCCCUGAAUCCGCUGCACCAAGCCGGAGCAUUCCGAGACCCGCAGCCUCCUGCUAGGAUUGUUUGCUUGGGAUUAGGGUUUAUAACAUUUUUUUAAAGGUUUGAAUUUAUUUCCUUCCAACAUGUUCUCGGUUUCUUUGAUUCGUCUCUCUUAUUUUCUUUUUACUUCAUUUUUUUCCCAAGUAAUGAAAGUGUUGGUCUUGCAUGAAUUCCUCUUUUCUUCAUUAUUCUUUGUUGUUUCACUUCUUUUUUCACAAGAGCAUGAUUGGCUACAGCUUGAAAAAUCCCCAUUGUUACUCUGCAAAUGGAAGUCCUUCUUCUUGCCACAACCUGGUUCUGGAAGCUGGUUUCUGUAAUGCUGUUCCCCUUGCUUAGAGGCUGAUCAGUGUUUAUGUUUUGUUAUCAUUAUUUAUCUAAGUCUCCUUUUUUUCAGGAGUUGUAGGAGCUUCCCUAGAAAUUUCUCUUGUGCUCGUACUAAACAAGGCUACUGCAGCCUCUGGAGAUCGCAUAAGCUUUCGAGUAACUGGUACCAAAUAAGCCUUUGCUCAUAUUCAAGCUCCAGAUGCCAUUUCUUUUUCUGUUUUCCUAGUUUAUUUUGUUUGUUAAAUAUUAUAAAUUAUUCUUUUAUCAACAACUUAUGAAUUUUAAUGUCAAGGGCAUUUUUUCGGAAACUUCUAGAAGUAUCUGUUUUUUGACGUUCAUCAUGGUAAUCAUGUGAAAGUCUGCCCCCUCCUAAAACAGUGAUUCUCUUAUUACUACAUAUGGCUUCUUCUUGGUGGUUGAGUUGGAGGUGGUAUCUAUAUCCUAAUUUUCUUUUCUUAUUUCUAAUCAAAAAUCAGGGAGGACUUACCCAGGAGGGGUUAGUCUUCUGGUGGUUCUGUUAUGAUCUGUGAUGCGUAAUCAGAUCUGUUAUCAUUCUUUCCCUCAUAUUGCAAUUACUUUCAUCAUCACCAAAACUUAAGCACUAAGAUUAGAGGUGUCGAGCUGGUGAGGAAGGUUCAGAGUUUGGAGAGCAGUGAGUGUUUCGAAAUCCUUCUUUUUUUGUUGGAUAGUGCAUUGGAGUAUUACAGGUGCAGAUCUCUGCUUUCUUGGACAAGGUAUUAUCAAAAUUUCUUCUUUUUUUUUGUUGCUAUUUCCAAAUUUGACAAAUUUUCCUAGAUUUGUAUUUGAAUUUCUAGUAUUGGUUGAAUAAUGACUUAUUCCAGUGGAUUUUUUCCUGGUUAUUUCCAAGCACUGAUAAGUUUCUCUAGAUAUGCUAAUUUAUUAACUAGUCUUGGCACGUAUCAUUUUUAGUUAAUUUAUUUUUUAUUUAGUUUGCUGAAUGAAUGCUUGAAUCCUAAUAAGCUGUAAAUGCAAUUGCAAAAUAUUCAGAUCUAUGACUGGACCAAGGGGUUUAUAUAAUAUAUAUGGAUCUUAUAACGCAUGAACAAACAUUAUGUCGGUUCACUAUUGUACGCCAUGAAAUUACCUGUUUUGAUAUGCCAUUCUGAAAUUCAACUUGAAUUGCAAAAGUUAUUUAAGAACUGCAUGAAUACCAUUGAUAUGUUUGUAUAUUAGGAAUUAGACUUACUUUAUUAUGCAAUUCUGGUUUCAGUUCUCAUGUAGACUCUUCAUAAUGAAAAGCUUAGUAGCAUAAUUGUCAUCCAGGUCUUUUUUACAUCAAAUGAGUGGUCAGAUAGAGAAGAACUUUAAGUUGAAAACUUAGUACAGGAAUCAGUGUUCAGCUUAGUGAAAUCAUUUUUCCAAAGUGUAAAUUCAGGACACCUUAAAUCUGAUUUUCCUUUUUCUUCAUGUGGAACUCAAUUUGAUAUUCACUGCACUGCCUUGGGCUGAUACUUUAAAUCAAAAAUUGUAAAAAUUUCCUCCAAGUGGCAAAAGAAACGAGAAAUCUAUCUAUCAAUAUCUAUCUAAUUAUCUAUCUAUCUAUAUAUAUAUAUAUAUAAAUAUAAUCAACCUUUUUUAACCUUUUGUUACUGCUUUCGUCGUCUUAGGUUAGGAUUUAACCUCCUGCAACUACCUGCAGAAUCACUGUUAUAGACAAUCCUGAUUUAUUGACCUUUUGUUCUUCUGAUUCUUUUCUAAUGUACCAUGGGGAAAAAUGUCUGCAUAAAAAUACUAAAACAAGUUAUUUUGGUUAUUUUGUUAUAGUAAGACAAUUUUAUAUGACUAUACUAGAAUGAUCUAUAUUCUUGUAUUCUUCAAUAUCCCUAUGUUUUUAUUAUUACUUGAGAAAGAAUAAUUUAACUAACAGAGCAAAAUAUUAAAGAGAGCAGCGAUGCAUUGAGAUGUAGAACAAAUGAAGCUUCCUAUUUUGGCAGCAAGCCUUCCAAAUCUUUUCAGCAAUUUUAUGAUCUCAAAUGCUGUCUACAUAUUUUUUAAGUUAUGCCAGAAGUGAUGAGUAGUUUUGGAUGAAUCCACCAAUUCUCAUCUGACUUAUCAAUAUCUCUCCCGGCACUGUGUGAUUAGAUUGCUUAUGCAAUAAAAUGAGGGUAAAAUGAACGCUGCAUAGGUGUUGCUAGGACUUAAUGGGGUGAUUUAUUUAGCAAGAGCUUGGACCUUUUGGCAUUCUGAGCUCUGGAAUGGAGACAUCCUGAUCUAACAACAAACAGGGGUAGUGCUGGUCUACUGCCUUCCAAAAGCUUUUAUGUCGAACAUUGUACAUUCCUAUGAUGCGUAGCUGCGCAUAGUAUACCUUCAAAGUUCAAAGUUGAAAUACAGAGUAAGUGCUGCAUGUACUCUGUAUGGUUCUUUUUAAUCAUGGUCAUAUGCAAGGAUACAAGAUUAGCUUGCCUUGGCAAAUUUUAUAAUUUUGCAUAAACUUGGGAAAUCAUUUAAGAUCAGAAAUUUAGGGAGAGAAAAAUGGGCUGUGAUUAUUGCUAAUGGGCAACUUGAAUUUAUAAUAAGUUUUUUUUUUUUUUUUUGAGAGGGAAGUCAUAAAAAAUUAAGAAUUGUAUAUGGAAAAUCAGGAAGUAUUUGUUUCCAUAUUAUCUUGAAAGAAGUAUAUGUUUUAAGUGAAGCUGGAAUUAAAUAGAUGGAUAAAUGAAAGAAUCUCUAAUUGAACAAUGAUCAUGCAUUUUCUAAUAAUAUGGAUAAUUUUUUUAUUGUGGCUGUAGUAUGGUGGGGGGUUGAGGUAGGUUUUUUACUAGCUACUUUGCUGUAUUUCUUCCUCCUAUAUCAAUGCAUUGUGGUGGUCGCAGGUAAGAAAUGGUUUCGGGCAAACUUAGUUAUUUACGCUGAAAAAAUGUAGCACAAAGCUUUGCUGGUGCCAGAUAAAAUGGGGGGAAGUGUUAUACUUUAUGCUGGCAUCUUGGCAGCUCACAGGUACUCCUCCAAGGUGGUAUUGGCUCCAAAAUAGCAUUUCAGUUUUCAAACAUGCCUACCUUGUUCGUACUAUUCCUCAUGCUGCACAUUCUAACAACUCAGGCUUCUUACUUGAAGCAGCUUAUCUCCUUCUUCUGCUUCCUACCUUUUUCCCCCUUUGUGGGCAGCUGCAGGGUCAAACCCUAUUUUGAGGGGAUGCUCCAGGAAACAGCAACCUGUGCUUAACUGACUUGCCGUGGCCCAAUACCUCUGAUUCAUGGGCUCAUGGCUUAUAGGGGGCAUGACAGGUUUUGUGAGGCAAUCCAUCUUUUAUCCAUUACAGGUUCGUUGGAUGCCCUGUGAUAUAGUGGAGAUCAACUUUGAUGACUCACAUAAGGUUGGCCAAGCUGGUAUUGGUUUUACCAUUAGGGAUCGCCUUGAGCGUCUCAUUUAUGCUGGAUCUAGAAUUUUACAUGGUACUUAUUUCCUUGGUUGAACUGAGAGCAGCUUGGGAAGCAAUUAAUGUGGCUAUUUGAAUAGAUUAUGGUUGGAGGGUGACUCCAAUAGGGUGAUAAAAUGGAUCAGUGCCCCUCAUGAUUGCUCAGCUUCUCACCAUCCUUUGUUGCUAGACAUUAUUCCUUUCAAGGAUCAGCUUCUGUAUUCCAAAGUAUCUCACUCCCAUCUUUUGUGAAGCUAAUCAACCAGCAGAUUGGCUAGCAGGAAAAUAUUCGAUUUCGAGUUUCCUACUGACCCCUUACCUUCGCCGCCCCCAACCUAUGGCAGAUUUCUCCAAAUAUAUUUUUCGAAUAUUUGAAUCUCUUGAGACCUUAGUUUCCCACUGACAAAAAGAGGGAAAAAAAGAGAAAGAGGUUCAUGAUGAGAACAUGUUCCCCUGUAUUUAAGCUGUUUCCUUUGCACCCUUCAGAUGACAAAGCCAUGGAGGGUUUCUACCAAAGAAACUUCGCUAUUCCAUGGAAUUACCAUGGUUGGUUUGUGAUGUGGAAGGUGGUGGACAGAGAUUUCAGGUUUAAAAGGAGUUGAUGCUCUUAGUGUGUACAGUUCCUCCUUCUCAGUUCACGAGCGACCAAUCAUCAGCUCAUCCAUAUGAUGCUUGGCAGGUAAUUUAGAAAUGAUACACUAGCAGUGAAGGCAAGCUGUGUUUUUUUUUUUAAUAUAGAUUUUGGAAAAACUGAGAGGAAAAUAUUUGGCCGCUAAGUAACAUAAAGAAUAUAUCUACACACAUUUCUCUCUCUGUAUAAUAUAUAUAUGUAUACACGCACAUAUAUGUGUGUGUGCACACACAAUAAUGUACUUAUGUAGAGUUUUCUCUCUCUAUAUAAAUCUAAUUUUCUGGGA